GUUAUUGUUUACGAUUUACGACGGCGAUGGUAAUGUACCGUGUACGAUCCUACCUCUGCCCAUUAUGUCCUAAUAUCCUAUUGUCCUGUAACUUAUUUCACGUAUCACGCAUAGUUAUUAAUCUUUGUUUAAUGCAUUUAAUAGUCAACAUUCAACACUCGUGCAUGUAGGUAUUAUGCAGUUUACCAGUGGCGGCGGGCAGCGUCAACUUGUUAGACAAUAAUGAAGCGAGACAUAAAAUAUCAAAAACGACUUUAUCUACGUUGUUUGACUUCCAACGAUGACUUGUUUAAUGUACCCAAAACUACGAUGCCGCUCCAUUUGACACACACGAUAUCCCAUUCCGUCUGUGCCGCACCUGUACAGAAUAUUUGGUUACAACCUCCAUGGUCAAAAUAGAACAUAUUGGCUCCUAACUAAUGUUGCAUUGGCGUGUGCUGAAUAUCACAAAAAGGUGGGACCAAAAUGUGAAACGAGUUACGCUGUCCUCAACGGUGGAGAACACAAAAAUGCUUAUUUUAAAGUUAUAUUUGAUGACGUGUCAAUUCUCCGAUCUGAAGCUUAGCUAUGGCCGCAGCAGCGGGCUUCUUUGAUGUUUAUUAUAAGGUCGCCUUCAAAAACUCGACGGAGCCGCAGAGGUUAAAAUUUAAUUAAUCAAUAAAAAUUAAUCGGCUGAUUUGUUGGCGUAUUUACCACUUUUACAGUUGGAACCGGACGGUUUCUUUAACAUUCAAUUUUGAGCCGUUAUUAUCAGCAACAACGUGGAGAAGAAAAUGAAAUAUUUAAUAAUUACUGUAUAUUAAUAAACUAUUACAUCAUGUUAUUGUUAAUUGUUAAAAAAUACGAUUUUGUAAUCAAGUUCCCUAGCAUUUACCGACGUAAUGCAAUGUUAGAAAAACGCACAAAUUUCAAUACUGCUUAGAAUAAAUAUUAGGAACAUUAUUAUUAAUAUAGGGUUAGGAUUUUAAUGAUCUUAAUUAAAAUCUCCAAAAUAAAUGCAUACAAAUAUCCAAAAUAAAUCCUUUAACUACUAACCUUUAUUUUCUGUUUAUAGAACCAACGACGCCGAGAGAACUGUUUUCACAUUACUUCCUCAACUAACCUAAAAUAACUUUUAGUAACUUAUUAGUUUGAUUAUUAUUUAUAUUAUGUAUAUCUUUCGUUUGAUCUUAUCUGAAAUGCAAAGUACUUACUGCAUACUUAAUUCGUGGAUUAUAAUUAAAUAAUAAUAUAUUAUUAAUAAAUAUCUAAUAAAGUCUAAAAGUAAAAA